rnacentral:rRNA from 1 species
UAAUACCGCAUAGUAUCUGUGGAUUAAAGGUGGCUUUUGGGCUGUCGCAGAUGGAUGAGCCUGCGUUGGAUUAGCUAGUUGGUGGGGUAAGGGCCUACCAAGGCUACGAUCCAUAGCUGAUUUGAGAGGAUGAUCAGCCACAUUGGGACUGAGACACGGCCCAAACUCCUACGGGAGGCAGCAGUGAGGAAUAUUGGACAAUGGGGGCAACCCUGAUCCAGCAAUGCCAUGUGUGUGAAGAAGGCCUUAGGGUUGUAAAGCACUUUAGUUGGGGAAGAAAGCUUUGAGGUUAAUAGCCUUGAGGAAAAGGACGUUACCCAAAGAAUAAGCACCGGCUAACUCCGUGCCAGCAGCCGCGGUAAUACGGGGGGUGCAAGCGUUAAUCGGAAUUACUGGGCGUAAAGGGUCUGUAGGUGGUUUGUUAAGUCAGAUGUGAAAGCCUAGGGCUCAACCUUGGAACUGCAUUUGAUACUGGUAAACUAGAGUACGGUAGAGGAAUGGGGAAUUUCUGGUGUAGCGGUGAAAUGCGUAGAGAUCAGAAGGAACACCAAUGGCGAAGGCAACAUUCUGGACCGAUACUGACACUGAGGGACGAAAGCGUGGGGAUCAAACAGGAUUAGAUACCCUGGUAGUCCACGCUGUAAACGAUGAGUACUAGCUGUUGGAGUCGGUGUAAAGGCUCUAGUGGCGCAGCUAACGCGAUAAGUACUCCGCCUGGGGACUACGGCCGCAAGGCUAAAACUCAAAGGAAUUGACGGGGACCCGCACAAGCGGUGGAGCAUGUAGUUUAAUUCGAUGCAACGCGAAGAACCUUACCUGGUCUUGACAUCCUGCGAUCUUUCUAGAGAUAGAUUGGUGCCUUCGGGAACGCAGUGACAGGUGCUGCACGGCUGUCGUCAGCUCGUGUUGUGAAAUGUUGGGUUAAGUCCCGCAACGAGCGCAACCCCUAUUGAUAGUUACCAUCAUUAAGUUGGGUACUCUAUUAAGACUGCCGCUGACAAGGCGGAGGAAGGUGGGGACGACGUCAAGUCAUCAUGGCCCUUACGACCAGGGCUACACACGUGCUACAAUGGGUAUUACAGAGGGCUGCGAAGGAGCGAUCU